rnacentral:rRNA from 1 species
UACGAAGGGGGCUAGCGUUGCUCGGAAUCACGGGGCGUAAAGGGUGCGUAGGCGGGUCUUUAAGUCAGGGGUGAAAUCCUGGAGCUCAACUCCAGAACUGCCUUUGAUACUGAAGAUCUUGAGUUCGGGAGAGGUGAGUGGAACUGCGAGUGUAGAGGUGAAAUUCGUAGAUAUUCGCAAGAACACCAGUGGCGAAGGCGGCUCACUGGCCCGAUACUGACGCUGAGGCACGAAAGCGUGGGGAGCAAACGGG